rnacentral:rRNA from 1 species
UAGGGAAUCUUCCACAAUGGACGCAAGUCUGAUGGAGCAACGCCGCGUGAGUGAAGAAGGCUUUCGGGUCGUAAAACUCUGUUAUUGAAGAAGAACGUGUGGUGACUAACUGGUCAUGCAGUGACGGUAUUCAAUCAGAAAGUCACGGCUAACUACGUGCCAGCAGCCGCGGUAAUACGUAGGUGGCAAGCGUUGUCCGGAUUUAUUGGGCGUAAAGCGAGUGCAGGCGGUCUUUUAAGUCUGAUGUGAAAGCCUUCGGCUUAACCGAAGAAGGGCAUCGGAAACUGGGAGACUUGAGUGCAGAAGAGGAGAGUGGAACUCCAUGUGUAGCGGUGAAAUGCGUAGAUAUAUGGAAGAACACCAGUGGCGAAGGCGGCUCUCUGGUCUGUAACUGACGCUGAGGCUCGAAAGCGUGGGUAGCAAACAGGAUUAGAUACCCUGGUAGUCCACGCCGU